GGGAGUGUGUAUAUGGGUGGCUUAUGUAUGUUUUCGUAUCACAGUUAGGUUUACUUUAUAAACAGAAUUUAGAAGUUUCCUUCUUUUUCUGUGCUUUGGAACAGAAUCAAAAGCAGCCUGCUCAUCCGUUCCUAAAGGUUUCACAACAGAAUUCCCCCAGUGAAAUAAUUUCCGUCUGGUGUUUUUGUGAAUAGUGAUGGGGGGAGUACAGUUCUCUGACAAUGUCUAUUGCUUCUGUGAUCAUUGGUCUGCUUAGAAUUUCUGUCUCUUCUGGGAUGUUUGUGUAAAUCAUAUUUUCUUGAAACAUCAUCCAUUUCAUCCAGGGUUUCAAAUUUAUUUUCAUAGAGUUGAAGAAAGAAAUCUUUUAUAAUUGUUUUCUUUUUUUCUGUAUCUAUGAUUACUUCACCUUAUUUGAUGUUUUGAAUGUGCUUUUGCCCUUUGUUUUCUGGUUGUUAAUUUUAUUCUACUGCUGCUUUUCCAACUCUUAGGUUUGUUAGAAUACUCGGUUCUGUUCUCUAAAUCAUUAAUUCAUUCUUUCAUUCUUACUAAUUCUUUUCUCCUGUUUUUCUUAGGUUUUUAUUUUUUCCUCAUCUUCUGAAUUGGUUAUUUUCUAUUUUCCUUUGAGGACUACUUUAGAGCGCCACACAAGCGCUGAUGUUCUUUCUGUCCUGUCAGCUUGGUUUUGAGUGGAUCGAAAGUAGGAAUUUUAAUGACUUUUUUUUUGGACAGGAAUCCCACACUCAUUUUUAUCCCACAUCACCGCCUCCCCCUCUUUCUCCUCGGAGCUGUUUUAAUGAUGAAGGUCGCCGAGGAGGUUCUUCGCCCUGGCGCGGGAGGCGGCAGGAGAGGCCUCCCGUGGCCUCCGCCUCUUUCUCGCCCCGCAGGCGGCGGGAGGCACCGGCUGCGCAGGGGGCGCGCGGAGGCUGAGCCACGCAGAGCUCCCCGCCGGGUGCGGGACCCGCAGGCGCGGGCUCGGGCGCUGCACGCCCGCGGGCACGCGCACUCCCGGGUGACGGCGCAGACGCCGCGGCCCGCGGCCUCCUGGGUUUGGAUUCCUGCUGGCUCUCACCUGGACGGGGCCGGGGGAGGUGAAGAUGCUCCAGACGCAGAGUUGAGGCCUGAUUCGGGGAUAUCUGGGGCGCUGUGGUACAUUAGAGAGCACGGCGGCGGCUCUGCCGCGUCGGUGCUGCUGGCGGCGGAGAGGAACCCUUCGCGGCGUCUCCCGAGCCUGCUGCGCGCGGAGAUCCAAAAAGUAAUUCAGGCACUUGCCGACCAAAUGGGAGCAACUCCUCUUGCCUGCACUAUAGAAUCCAUUUUCAAAGUGAAAUGCAAAAACUGCAGGCUGAGGCAAUACUUGCUACUGUGGUUCUCCAGGGAGAACAUUAGAUGCACGAAAGAAAAAAAAUUUUAUAUUAUGGAAGUCAUCAGAAAAUUCAUGAGAGAUCCAUAUCAAAUACUGGUGAAGAAAGAAGACUUGGCCCUUGAAAGGAUCAUGGUUUACAAUAAUUUUGAAAGAGGGUGGGGACAUGGACCAGAAGGAAAGAGAUUUAUCAGGAGGCAAUUGAGAUUAGGGACCAGCUGAGUUUUGAUGGUUACUGACUUACUGAAUUGGCAGUGGGGAUUGAUUUGGAAGGAACGCUGUGGCCAUAAAUGUUGAAGAAGGCAAGAGGAUUCUUUGUGACAUUGAGUCUUUCUCUAACACUACGGUGGAGGAAAUGCCAAUGAAUGUGGUCAACGUUUCUUAAUUCCUGGGAUGAGAUGAUUUCAAAUGCAGUACUCACUGUUGCUCACUAGGCGAUCACAAUGUGCACUGUGCUCCCUUCUUUGGGGAUAUCUGAAGCUUGUCUCAAUGCUCAAAAUGGACCUGAAAUACAGAUUUUGAUUUCAAAGUGACUACAGUCAUGAGCUUUUGUGAAGAAAGUCAUUGACAUUCUUCUUCUGAGAGUUAGAUUGUUGGGGCUGGAUAUAAUAGAUGGGAGAUCUGUAAAAAUCUUUCUUUCUUAGAAAUGUACCCCCUUAUUCUGUAGAAAUGGUUGUAUUGGGUGUUCUUGAUAAUAUACUUGUGAACUAAUAUAUAUAAGUGCUGUAGUCAUUAGUUAGUCAUUAUUCUGAAUAGAAAAGACUUUAAAAUGACUCUUUUUAAAAAAAAUACUUUGAUUCAUUUUGUUUGGUAUUGUGUUCUUAAUUCAGUAAAGGAUCUUCUUCAGUGCUAAGUGUGAACUGGAUCCUUUUGCUAAGCACCAGCCAACAAUCUAUACUAAGGUUAAAUCCCAGAAAUAUUGCCAUACUGUAUAUUACAUGUUCAAUAAAUUAUAAUAAAGGGUCUUUUACAGUGGUUUGGCCUUUAUUCC
ensembl:lincRNA